GGGGAAUAUUGGACAAUGGGCGAAAGCCUGAUCCAGCCAUGCCGCGUGAGUGAAGAAGGCCUUAGGGUUGUAAAGCUCUUUCAGCGGGGAAGAUAAUGACGGUACCCGCAGAAGAAGCCCCGGCUAACUCCGUGCCAGCAGCCGCGGUAAUACGGAGGGGGCUAGCGUUGUUCGGAAUUACUGGGCGUAAAGCGCACGUAGGCGGACUGUUUAGUCGGGGGUGAAAUCCCGAGGCUCAACCUCGGAAUUGCCUCUGAUACUGGCAGUCUCGAGUCCGGAAGAGGUGAGUGGAAUUCCGAGUGUAGAGGUGAAAUUCGUAGAUAUUCGGAGGAACACCAGUGGCGAAGGCGGCUCACUGGUCCGGUACUGACGCUGAGGUGCGAAAGCGUGGGGAGCAAAC
rnacentral:rRNA from 1 species